rnacentral:rRNA from 1 species
AACGAACGCUGGCGGCAGGCUUAACACAUGCAAGUCGAACGCCCCGCAAGGGGAGUGGCAGACGGGUGAGUAACACGUGGGAACGUGCCCUAAGGUUUGGAAUAUUCCCGGGAAACUGGGAGCAAUACCAAAUGUGUCCGCAAGGAGAAAGAUUUAUCGCCUUAGGAUCGGCCCGCGUCAGAUUAGGUAGUUGGUGGGGUAAUGGCCUACCAAGCCGACGAUCUGUAGCUGGUCUGAGAGGACGACCAGCCACACUGGGACUGAGACACGGCCCAGACUCCUACGGGAGGCAGCAGUGGGGAAUCUUGGACAAUGGGCGCAAGCCUGAUCCAGCCAUGCCGCGUGGAUGAUGAAGGCCCUAGGGUUGUAAAAUCCUUUCGUUGGGGACGAUAAUGACGGUACCCAAAGAAGAAGCUCCGGCUAACUUCGUGCCAGCAGCCGCCGUAAUAC